CUCAGAUUGAACGUUGGCGGCAGGCCUAACACAUGCAAGUCGAGCGGAAACGACAUUAUUGAUUCUUCGGAGGAUUUAAUGGGCGUCGAGCGGCGGACGGGUGAGUAAUGCCUAGGAAAUUGCCUUGAUGUGGGGGAUAACCAUUGGAAACGAUGGCUAAUACCGCAUAAUGCCUACGGGCCAAAGAGGGGGAUCUUCGGACCUCUCGCGUCAAGAUAUGCCUAGGUGGGAUUAGCUAGUUGGUGAGGUAAUGGCUCACCAAGGCAACGAUCCCUAGCUGGUCUGAGAGGAUGAUCAGCCACACUGGAACUGAGACACGGUCCAGACUCCUACGGGAGGCAGCAGUGGGGAAUAUUGCACAAUGGGCGAAAGCCUGAUGCAGCCAUGCCGCGUGUGUGAAGAAGGCCUUCGGGUUGUAAAGCACUUUCAGCGAGGAGGAAAGCUUAAGCGUUAAUAGCGUUUAGGUGUGACGUUACUCG
rnacentral:rRNA from 1 species